UCCCUGGUGGCCUAGCGGUUAGGGGCUCAACAUUCUCACUGCUGUGACUCAGGUUCUGUUCCUGGCUGAGGAA
rnacentral:tRNA from 1 species